AGGGAAUCAGGUGUGCACACCUACAGGAAACUGCUUACAACAGCUUGAAGGAGUUUCCUAAAGUGGCUAGAGCAGCGUCAGUCCUCUUUAAAUGUUAAAAUAUCAACCAUUCAGUCCACACUUUUUGCAUUAACUGAUGUUUAAGUUUGUAAUUUAACAUUUAGUGAGGGUGGUUGGAAGACGCAGGGCAGGAGCAAGCUGAGAGCUCAACAGGCUCUCAGAUGUUCUGGGAUGAGGUCCAGCAGAGGCAAAACAUGCAGGACUUGAGGGGUCAUAGAUCUGCAUGUUUUGAAGGAUCCAUCAGAGAGAAUCAAGAAACUGCAGAAACCACCUGUGAAGUCCUGCUCACCUGGAUCCUCCAUCAGCUCCUCUGUGAGACUGGCAGACGUCAGAAAAACAAGCAACGCCAAACGUCUCUUCGGAGGAGCGAAGGGGAAAACAGAAGUGAAGCUGCUCCUGUGGAGUACAAUUACCUUCAAAGUGCUGCUCCCCCCGACACCCCCCAACACCCCGACCCCGACCCAUCAAGGAUUUUACCUGAAACUGCUUUGAGCCUCCCUCAGUCUGAGGCUAUGAGAGGGAGAGAGGAGUCCCAGGCUGUACCAUCAUGCUUCUUCUGAGACGCUGGGAUGAGACUUUGGCUGGCAAAUCACAAGGUA